rnacentral:rRNA from 1 species
UACAGAGGGUGCAAGCGUUGUUCGGAAUCAUUGGGCGUAAAGGGCGUGUAGGCGGUUUGUUAAGUCAUGUGUGAAAUCCCUCGGCUCAACCGGGGAACGGCGCAUGAAACUGGCAAGCUAGAGUACCAAAGAGGGUGGUGGAAUUCCCGGUGUAGCGGCGAAAUGCGUAGAUAUCGGGAGGAACACCGGCGGUGUAGACGGCUUUCUGGACCGUAGCUGACGCUGAGACACGAAAGCGUGGGUAGCAAACAGG